rnacentral:rRNA from 1 species
UUUUAUAGAUUAUGUUUCAAUUUUACUUUCUCUUCUUACCUUUUGCAUCAUGAUCUUACUAUUAUCUUAAAUUAUUUUAUAUUCCGAAAUAGCGGGGAUAUUAGUUAGUAUUUGGUGGCGUGUGGUCAUUUUAUAUAUUACUAAGCGGUGAUAAAUUAUUCGGCCCCUAUUAUAUCUGAUUUAAAGAUUAAAUAAAUAAAAAAGGUAUUUCCAUAGAUGAAUAUACCUUGUUUGUAAGAAUAUUAUAUAAAUUUUAGUUGGGUCUAAAGGUUUCCUCUCUUUUGGUGUGUUAUAACACUUUACAUUUUUUUUUUUCUUCUUUUAUUUUCUUUCUUUUUGAAUCACAUAAAAAAUAUUCUGUUAGAAUAAGUAUUAAAUAAUUGAGGUGCUUUCUCUAUUUGAUAUGGUAUGUUUAUUAAAAACAUUGCUACAAAAAUCCUUUUGUAGUAGUACCUGCUCAGUGCUUAGUCAACAGCCGCAGUAUUUUGACUGUGCUAAGGUAGCAUAACUAAUUGCCCCUUAAAUAGGGGAUCGUUUGAAUGGUUUGACCGUGUCAAUAUUUAGCUUCUCUUUCUGUUUAUAGAGAAAUUAGCUUGUUGGCACAGAGCCCAACUCGGGAUUACAAGACGGAAAGACCCUGAAAUCUUGAUCUUAUUAAAUUUACUUGGGGCAAGGCUAGGUUUUUUACUUAGUUUGUGAACCUCCUGGUUUAAAGACUAAGUUACUUCAGGGAUAACUGGGUUAGAGGGGGUUAGAGUUCCUAUCGAACCCCUUAUUUGCCACCUCGAUGUUGACUUGGAAACUUUCUUUUGGGCGCAGCUGUUUAAAAAGAAGGCCUGUUCGGCCUUUAAUCUUCCAAUGAGUUGAGUUGAAACCGGCGUGAGCCAGGUUGGCUCUUAUCUGUAUUUGGCUUCCUUUAGUACGAAAGGAUCAAGGAGG